CUUCUUCCACUGAUGCGUGGGCGUCAUCAGUAGUGAGUAGUCCAAGAUGGCGGACGUGAAGCUGCACUAUUCCUAAAACCACAUUUAGUUCGUCAAGUUAACUUUAUGAAUAGGGUGCGUCACUAAAGUGUACUUUCUUACACUGGACCAUCAUCCACUUUGAAAUGAAAGGGAAAGAACGAUCGCCGCUGAAAAAACGCUCACGGAUAAUCGAUGAUCUCCGAGAUCGCGGAGGCCACCUCACCAAGAAGCUAGGUCCACUGUCGGGCACCAGCAGCGGCAGCAACAACGGGAAUAGUUCGGUUAACAGUCACAUUUCUGCAAGAAGAAGUUUGCCGAGCGAAAAGAGGGACAUGAGGGACGCGGAAGGACACCACACGGGCCGGACUGGGGCCAACCAUGACUAUGGAAGUAACAACGCCAGCUCCAGCAACAAAGUGCACGGUAGCAUUGACCUCGCUACCGAGGCCAGCUCCGCUCCCAGGACCAAUGCACGCGGCGACGCGCGGACCCCCAGCUCCGAGAGUGAGUACAAGACGCUUAAAAUCAGUGAGCUGGGGUCGCAGUUGAACGACGAAGAAAUUGAAGACGGACUAUUUCAUGAAUUCAAAAAAUUCGGAGAUGUAAGUGUCAAAAUAAGUCGAGUUGGCGACCAGAGGGUGGCGUUUGUGAAUUUCAGAAGGCCCGACGACGCCAAGGCGGCCAAACACGCACGCGGCAAGUUGGUGCUCUACGACCGACCACUGAAAAUUGAGCCCGUGUUCAUGAAUCGUCGUAGAAGCCGUUCUCCCGUGUCGAGUUAUCCUCCCGGGCACCGUAAUGUACAUGCCCAAAGAGCCAUGUCACCCACUGGUUUAGGCUACAGAGACUACCGACUACAGCAGCUAGCGCUGGGCCAUCUCCCCCCGCCUCAUGUGCCACCACCACCCAUCCACCUAAGGGACCUAGAAAGAGACAGAGAGUUUUCUAUUUUCGAAAACCGGAACCGGCCUUCCUUUAUCCCCGAGUGUGCCCCUUUCAGAGAGGAGGAUCUCAUGUCCCCUGAAGACGACCAGAGAGCAAACCGGACGUUGUUCUUAGGAAACCUUGACAUUACUGUGACUGAUCAGGAUCUGCGCAGGGCGUUUGACAGGUUCGGUGUCAUUACCGAAGUGGACAUAAAGCGGGCAGUGCGCGGACAGAACAGCACUUAUGGCUUUUUAAAGUUUGAAAAUCUUGACAUGGCCCACCGGGCCAAAGUGGCCAUGUCGGGGAAAGUGGUGGGUCGCAACCCUAUUAAAGUGGGCUACGGUAAAGCCACGCCUACGACCAGGCUUUGGGUUGGGGGGCUCGGGCCCUGGGUUCCGGUGGCGGCUCUUGCCCGUGAGUUUGACCGCUUCGGUACCAUCAGGACUAUAGACUACAGAAAGGGAGACCCCUGGGCCUACAUCCAGUACGAGAGCCUCGACGCUGCCCAGGCCGCCUGCACCCACAUGCGUGGCUUCCCCCUGGGUGGCCCAGACCGGAGACUGAGGGUGGACUUUGCAGAGACGGAGCAGCGGUACCUGCAGCAGUACAUGCAGCACCUCCCCCUGCCCCCCUACGACCUGGUCCCGGAGGCCUUCGACCACCGCCCGCCCCCGGAGUCCCUGAGGGUCCGUGAGAGGUCUCCGCCCGGCCCCCUGCGCUUCAGAGAGAGGGACCUCUACCCCGGCAACGACUGGCCCGGCCUCGACGUCCACGACCGGGCCCGUGGUCCGGGCUUCGAGCCCAUCGACCACCUGGAGAGACGCGCCCGGGAGACGUGGUCCCUGGAGCGAGAGCUGCGAGACCGCAAGCGGAGACCCCUGGACGACGGCCGGCGCCCCGACCGCUCGCCGAACGGCGGGGACUUUGUUCGCCGUCGCCGCGGGAACUCGCUGGAGCGCAGCCCCGGCGGAAUGGGCCGCUACGGGGACCCGGAGCGGGGCCCCCACCCAGGCAGACUCUCUCCUGGCAGGGAGCACCAGAGCCUGGACCCGACCGGGCCCUCAGAGAAGAGGAGGAGGACGCUCAGCCCCCCCACGGCCCCGGGCACCAGCUCGGACAGAGACCGCAAGCGCAAGGCCGGGGACCCGUGUCGGAGCCCCAUGCGUAGGGGGGACCCCUCCCACCCGCCUUUCCUCUCCAACAACUCGUCCUCCAAGGCGGCGCCGCCCUCAAAGCAAGGGGCGGGGUCCCAGAAGCUGUCCCAGGCCUGGCAGGGCGUGCUCCUGCUGAAGAACAGCAGCUUCCCCACCACCGUGCACCUGCUCCAGGGGGACAUGGCGGUGCCGGCCUCCCUGCUGGUGGAAGGCACCAAAGGCGGCCCGGUGUCCCAGCUGAAGAUCAGCCAGCGCCUGCGCCUGGACCAGCCCAAGUUGGACGAGGUGAGCCGCCGCAUCAAGGCCUCGGGUCCCGCCGGCCACGCCGUCCUGCUCGCCGUCCCGGGGAAGACGGAGGACGGGCGCCAGGACAGCAGCAACAGCUCCACGGAGAGGCCGCUGAAGAACCUGGUGUCCUACCUGAAGCAGAAGGAGGCGGCGGGGGUCAUCAGCCUCCCCGUGGGGGGCAACCGAGACAAGGAGCGCACGGGGGUCCUCCACGCGUUCCCACCGUGCCCGUUCUCGGAGCAGUUCCUGGACGCGUCCUCCAAGGCCUUCGCCCGCUCAGAGGAGGAGUACCUGCUGAUGAUCGUUAUCAGAGGAGCCUCCUGAGUGUGCUCGUCCCCCCCCCCCCCCCCCAAGAAUGGUUGUCUUUUAACAACUGAGCACUGCUAUUUUUUUUUAUUCUAUGAGUUGCAUAACUAGGCGGGUGGAACAGUCCAUCCUUCCAGGUGGAAUACAUAGAUGUGAUUUAGCGUUUGAGUGUCGGACUGCUUAAGAGAAAAAAUGUCGAGGCUUUGAUUUUUAAUUAACUUCCAGGGCGGCCUGUACUCCAUUCAGCCGAAGCAAAGUUUGUAGUCGGCCAAUAUUUCACGAUGCAUUGUAUUUAGCUGAAGGAUUUGAUUAGUAUGAAUUAACGCCCCCUCCCCCGCCCCCAUUAAUUUCCACCCCAAAAAAAGCUAACUACAUUGAGAACAAGGCUUUUUGUUGUAUCAAUCUUUGUUGCCGCAGUAGAGUUUAAGUUCAUUCCUUAAGACUUUCAUUAUGUUGACCAACUGUACAAAAGAAAAUUUAUAAAAAUCUAUUUGACAACUCAAAAAGUAUAACUCAAUGUGUUAUGGUUUGCGAGAACAUUUAAAGUACUAUGAAGAUUUCUGUGAAGCCAUUGCAGUCAAUGUUUUUUUUUUUCUAUUCAGAUUUCAUGCAAAAAUAAGAUGCUAAAGGAACCCAACUCAUUAUUUGACAUCUCUACCUUUACUCGGUCAAACUCACACAAUCUGAGAAGCAACUUUUAAGCAUAAUUUAAUUGUUAAAUAUACAAAUAUUAGGCCUAAUUAAUUACUAUUGGGCUUUCACAAGGUUCCCUGAUUGUUUGUCAUUCCAUAUUAUGUUGACUUACAUUGUAAGAAGUGUUUAUUGAAUAAGUCAUGGGUGAAGUGUGUUAUUGGCUAAACUUCUUUGGGGAUAAAGAUUUCAUCAGUCCGAUAAUGGUUUUGUAAAUACUGUGACCAUCUAGAUGUGGUAGGCUUCAUGAGCUGGUAUGGAAACCACACUUUAACUAGCAAAUUGGUUAAAUUCAAAUAGGGUUUCCCUACAGUCCUACCAUACCAUUUGGCGUCUAAUCAUAGUAAUCUUUCAUUGGACAACUAAUCAAACAUUUCUAAUCUUCAUUUACUAAAGUUAAACAAUACUGAUCAUUCAAGGGCAUUCAUUUAUUGUCCGCAACUAUUAAGAAAUAUGAUCUUUGGUCAAAUUGUUGUUAGUGCUGGUUGGAAUUUUUGCAAUUGAAAUCUUAACAAGUGACUCAUCAGUUGGUCAACCUACCGGUCAGAUAAUUGAUUUUAAGAGUUGACGUACACUGGCAUGCUUAUUUUAUUCAGUAUAAUUUUUUCAUUACAAUUUUAUCCAAAGUUGACUGGGCCGACUGUUAAAACAGAACCAAUAUGGUUUGUUUCACCAAGGUUCAUUCUACACCUAAGAAAAAAGCUGCAGUGUUGUAUUUGAUUUGUCCAUCCUUCAAACAUGUACAGUCUUCGAUGUGUUUCUAUGCCAUGGACUUCCCCUUUCACUACUGUCAAUCAUGCAAUGACAAAAAAAAAAAAGAACUUCCACUCCCAGAAUGCAUCUCUGCAAAGAGGGCCAUUUGCAGUCUGAGUUGCCUUCCCUGAAACGGACUCUAUUUGUUUUAAUGCUUUGCUUCCAUUUUUUCAAAUGGAGAAUUUAGCAAUGUGCUGUUUACUCAGGAUUGCAACGAAAAAUACCGGAGGCCACGACUGCUCAUGAAUCGCAAGAUGAAUUGCCUCUGUCAGACAGCCCAUAGAUUUUGUUUCAGUUUUAAUAAAUGUUCUCUUUCCUGGGAAACGCGUCUAA